rnacentral:rRNA from 1 species
UACGUAGGGUGCAAGCGUUGUCCGGAAUUAUUGGGCGUAAAGAGCUCGUAGGCGGUCUGUUGCGUCGGCUGUGAAAACCCGGGGCUCAACUCCGGGCCUGCAGCCGAUACGGGCAGACUAGAGUUCGGCAGGGGAGACUGGAAUUCCUGGUGUAGCGGUGAAAUGCGCAGAUAUCAGGAGGAACACCGGUGGCGAAGGCGGGUCUCUGGGCAGUAACUGACGCUGAGGAGCGAAAGCGUGGGGAGCGAACGGG